UACGUAGGGUGCAAGCGUUAAUCGGAAUUACUGGGCGUAAAGCGUGCGCAGGCGGUUAUGUAAGACAGAUGUGAAAUCCCCGGGCUUAACCUGGGAACUGCAUUUGUGACUGCAUGGCUAGAGUGUGUCAGAGGGGGGUAGAAUUCCACGUGUAGCAGUGAAAUGCGUAGAUAUGUGGAGGAAUACCGAUGGCGAAGGCAGCCACCUGGGAUAACACUGACGCUCAUGCACGAAAGCGUGGGGAGCAAACAGG
rnacentral:rRNA from 1 species